rnacentral:lncRNA from 1 species
GGAGCCAGCUCUGCCCUGAAGGGGCUGAAGCCCACCCGGCCUGCAGCUGCUUCCUGCUGCAGGACAGCCCUGGAAGGUCUGCAGCUCCCGUCAAAGGUAUUGUCUCCCUCCGUGUCCACUUUGCUAAACUGUGAUGUGAUCAGCGUAAUCAACCUGAAAAUCUGCAGACAUAUCAUGCCAGAGACACAGCCUGCAGCUUAAUUUUAAGACUGCUUCACUCCAUGAUUCCUUUGAUUCAGCUGGGGUGGGAGCUGCUGGGAGGUGAUAUGCAAAUUUAUGCAAAUGAGAAGCAAUUCAGAGUAGCUCAGAGUCCAGAUCCCUUUUGUUCUUGGCUGUAGUGGGAUUGGGUUCCUGGGCUGAGGAGAGCAGGACUGUCUUAUGAACAUCUUGCCCCUGAGGGUAAAUGCUAUAGUUUCUCAAACCUCUGCUAGUUGUUAAAUUGUCUGCAAGUAUUUUGACCUGGUUGAAGCUAAUUUGAAUUUAUAACUAACUGUAACAGGGCACUGAAAAAUUAAAUUAAUUGCAACUAAAUUGACUUAAAAAAGAAUUCACCAGGUUUUAGUUCCAUUUGGACGUUCAGUCCUAUUUUGAUCCGGUGUGACCUAUAGUCUCUGUCACUUUUGGUUUUUUGUUGUUUUUUGAGACGGAGUCUGGCUCUGUUGCCAGGCUGGAGUGCAGUGGUGCAAUCUCAGCUCACUGCAACCUCCACCUCCCAGGUUCAAGUGAUCCUCCUGCCUCAGUCCCCUGAGUAGCUGGGACUACAGGUGCGCGCCACCAUGCCCAGCUAAUUUUUUGUAUUUUUAGUAGAGAUGGGGUUUCACCAUGUGGGCCAGGAUGGUCUCGAUCUCUUCACCUCGUGAUCCGCCUGCCUUGGACUCCCAAAGUGCUGGGAUUACGGGCAUGAGCCACUGCACUCGGCCGUCUCUGUCACUUUUAAAAAUGACACCUGGGACCUUGACAGGCUGUAGCCCUGAGGCAAGUGCCAUACCUUUAGAUGGUCUCCAGUUCUAGGUUCUACUAAAAGAAGACCUGAUAAAGUGGCUAUAUUUUAAAUUCUGGAAAGCCUGGCCACCCCACGAAGUCCCUGGUGAAAUCUGCAUGUCACUUAG